rnacentral:rRNA from 1 species
GACGAACGCUGGCGGCGUGCUUAACACAUGCAAGUCGAACGGUAAGGCUCCAGCUUGCUGGGGUACACGAGUGGCGAACGGGUGAGUAACACGUGGGUGACCUGCCCUGCACUUCGGGAUAAGCCUGGGAAACUGGGUCUAAUACCGGAUAGGACCGCACCGUGAGGGGGGGGUGGAAGGUUUUUUCGGUGUGGGAUGGGCCCGCGGCCUAUCAGCUUGUUGGUGGGGUAAUGGCCUACCAAGGCGGCGACGGGUAGCCGGCCUGAGAGGGUGGACGGCCACAUUGGGACUGAGACACGGCCCAGACUCCUACGGGAGGCAGCAGUGGGGAAUAUUGCACAAUGGGCGGAAGCCUGAUGCAGCGACGCCGCGUGGGGGAUGACGGCCUUCGGGUUGUAAACUCCUUUCACCAUCGACGAAAGGUUUCUGACGGUAGAUGGAGAAGAAGCACCGGCUAACUACGUG